AAUUUUGCAGGCAAGUCCCAAAUGACAUAACGCAAUUGUUCCAACUUUCGGAAUUGUAUUCCGGCUCCGAUAACACAAAAGUCAACUAUGGGUCAAACCUCUCCAUUUUCCAAUUUUCAACUUUUCCAACUUUCGUCGAAAUGCCUCAAAUUACCCUAUGGGCUUCCAAAUCCAAAUCUGAACGCACGACUAAGUCCAAAAUCACCAUACAAAGCUACUGACAUCAUCCAAAACUCAUUCCGGAGUCGUUUACUCAAAAGUUAAAUUCCGAUCAAAUUCCAUCGCUUAAGAAUCUUCUAGUUCUUCCUAUUUGACCCGAAACCGAUCGAUCUAGCCAUGAGCAGGUUGAAGAGUGCUCUAACAGGCCUUGGAGGACCGAACCCACGUAUGUGGCAAAAUACGGGGAUGACUUGUGGCUAGGGGUGAAAGGCCAACCAAGAUCGGAUAUAGUUGGUUUUCCGCGAAAUCUAUUUCAGUAGAGCGUAUGAUGUCGAUGGCCCGAGGUAGAGCUUCCAAAAGUAGAUUCAUUCUUCCAAUUCAACUCUGAUUCAUCCGAAAAUAGAAUCCAACUAUGCAUGCAAGUCGAUACACAUAAUAUGAAGCUACUUGUGAUCUCAAACUACCGAACCAGAUAUAAUUGCUCAAAACAACUAGUCGGGUCGUUACAGGCCCCUACCAUGGCUAAUAAACGGAAAGUAAAGUCAGAACUGAUAUUCAAGAUCAUGUGAGUGGUAUGGAAUUCCAACAUGCGUGGGAGCUCAGAUAAGUUAAGUAUGCAUGCAAUAAGGGGGCAAAAUACUAGGAAAAGCAAUUGCUUACGUUUAAAGAAAGUCGAGAUAGAAUGAAAGGAAUUAUUCGAAUAAUGAUUAGCCGUAGAAGACUCCGGUAUAAGUUAAAGAAGGAAUUGAAUCCAGAUCAUAGACAAAGGAUUGAAUCAUUAGAAGAUUGUAUCGUGGUUUUUCCAUAGCAUCCAUAGAAGGCUAAAGUAAUAACUUUAAUUCCAUGAGACGCAGAUCAAAAAAUAGCUUAAGCCUACAUAAAGGUUGAUCAGAAGGAAGAGGAAACUAAAGAGUUACAUCAAUUAAGUAAAUCAGGAAUUUGAUUAUUGGACCCAGAAAAUUAUGGACAUCGUGAUUGAGACCAUUGCAGAAUCACUCUGAAUAUCAAAGAUACAAGAGAGACAAUACAGUAACCAUAUUCUAUAACGGCUCUACAAUAAAGCUAGUCAGAAAAGUACCAGCCUUAUAAGAAGUCAGUAUGAAGCUCUCACCGGAUUGUGUAUACACCAGAGGUUCAAGUAUUAUAAUGGAGCUUCAAGUUGUGAAUAUGAAUUAUACCUAUGUGGAAAUGAGGUCUUGGAAGAAAUAGAAAAUGUGAUGCGAGAUUUUAAGGUAAGUAAGGUAAAAGUGAACAACGUACGAGAUACUUAAAUGUUAAAGGAUGCGAAUAUACCGUAUUGUGGAUAGAAGGCUAGAAGCGCAGGGAUUCAAUAUCCAGGAAUGAUAGCGGUAUUGUUAAUAGCAUAUCUUCCAGACUAUGGUUUCUAGGUAUUGAUAAGUCUAGUUAAGAGAGUAAAACAAGAGUUUGAUAUGAUGUGACGUCUCGCUUGAUGUUCCAUAAUAACAUAAGGAAAUCUAUGGUGCAAGCAAGUUGAAGAAAGGUUGCGAGUAGUAUAGAUGAAUAUAUGUAGGUCGCAAGCUAAAGUAUGGUAAAGAAACAAGGUUUUAGGAAGACAGGAGUAAGGAUAAGAAACUGCAAGUAAGAAUGUGACGAGAAUGGAUAAGUCCUCGGAAUUAAGCCCAUGAGAACAAGAGAGCCGAUGGUUUCUUUAUGCUAUAGAAAGUUCAGUAUAGCCUAAAUGAGUAUAGAAUGUUGCACCACAGUAGAAUGGGAGUAUAAUUGUGACAUAUGAAGGAUGAUGUUUGGGCCUUCGAUUGAUUAAUGAUUUGAAGAGGAUUUCACGAAUUGUACGAGAUUAAAAUACCCAUGUAAGGUAAAUCACAUUGGGAUACCAUGAAAUACGGUUAUGGAAGCAUGGUAUCGCCCCUAGGUGAAUCGUUCUAAUCGCUUCAGAUGUUCCCCAAUGAGACGUAAGCCCUAGUAACAAGAUAUUAUGUAAGAAGUUUCAGUUAUCAGUGGUGGAUUGUAGAUCGAUAUUGAGGUGAAUCAACAAUGGAUGGAUAAAAGUUAUAAAGUAUGAAAUGGGGUUUGGUCGUCACUCUUAAGAUGAACAGUAAUGACGAAGCAUUAAAGGACUUAGACUUAUGCAUAUAGGAUAAGCAACAAGAGUAAGAUGGAAUUUGGUAGCAGACCUCAGUAAUGAUAAAUCGAAGUAAGAGUUACGGUAUAGUAUGACCUAUCUUGAUGCAGUAAAGUCAUACAGAUGGACAAACGAAUGCAUGGAGUAAGGUAUAGCAAUAUUCAUAAGUUCAACAAAGUACCAAACGAACAACUUCAGUAUACCUAUAGAUGCCUAGAGGGACAUCUUGUCAAGCUUUGUAUAUGUUCACAAAGUAAGACUUAGAGAUUGGCUAAACGCUGGAGGAAAGGGGCGAGAAGCGUCACAUAGGCGCACAUACAAAAUUAGAGUAGUACAGGCUGCAUGAUAGAAGGUAGCAACAGUUACGAUAUUAGAAGGAUUCCGACAAGAAGUCAUGGUGUGAGAAAGAGGCUUAAAGGAGGGAAUGCCCUGGCCUUUCAAUUUAUUUAAAGAACAGUUGUCUGAAUGGGAAGGAGAAUAUUAGAGUAUUCGCAAGAGCUAUGGGUUAUGAGAAUGACAAGUGCAUCAGUAAACAUUCGAGGACGAAUGUUCCAAAGGGGGGAAUGAUGUUACACCCCAUGUUUUCGUACGUGAAAGUGAGCCAUAAAUAAAUUAAUGGAAGCUCAAAAAUGAGAUGUUACAUUCCGCAUUUUUGAACGUUAAAUCUUCGUCGUAAGUUAAUCGACAUAAGUUCGGGAAUGAGAUUAUUUGAGAUUAUAAGCAUUAUACUAUUUCAAACAAGUGAUGAGUAAAUUCAUGAAGGAGAGAGGGUAAGCAAAUCAAAGAAGAUGAAUUUCAUCGAAGUUUGGCAUUUUGGGAUAAAAUAUGACCCAAGCUAAAAUACCCUGUAUUUAUGGACUAGUGUCAUACAAGGUAGCACAUGUACAUGAUAGUAAGGUGUAUAAGGUAUGUUAAAAGUGAGUAGUAUUUUAAGUAAUUUGAGAUAGUUCUUAAGUAUGUGGAUAAUAGGGUAAUUAUUGAUUUUAGUGGGAGAUUAGCAAUUAACUAAGAUGUUGGUAUCUAAUUGGUUAGGAAUGGCUAAGAAUUAAUGUGGUAGCAACCUAAUUAAAUUAAGUGACUCUUCAAAUUACUUGAUAAUGUGUCAUUCUUAAGGUCUUAGUCAUAACCUUAGUGGGGCCCACACCCAUUAAGAUAUAAGACUCUAAUUCAUUAAGAUAUGGAUUCUCUUAAUGAAUCCAACGGGUAUAAAAUUCAGCAAGGUAAUGAUUCCGUGCAGAAUAUUUCAUACAAAAUUAUACUACGUAAUAGCAAUGGGAUUUUACGAUUCUGAGGAAGUACGGUGCAAUCUUUUCCAAAAUAUCAUAUGGAUUUUUUUCCUACUCCGAUCCGUCGUUACAUGUAGUCGCAAUUUACGUGGGUUAGAGGGAUUGUUAAGAGAAUCGGUCAGGUUUGUUAAGGCUAUCCCUUCUUUCUUUUUGGCAUGAUCUAUACGACACAAACAAAACGAGAAAAUGCACAAAUUCCGUAAAUGACUCUAUUCAUAGAAGUAUUAUAGAUGUCUAUGUUCUUGAAUUCUCAUAUGUCUUAUUAUUUCAUUAUCUAUUCAUGGGUCUCAGAAAAUACGUAAAUUAAUUUUAUGAUAUUAAUCAAAGGCAUAAUGGUCUUAUGACACUCCGAAAAAUUUUAUUGAUGUACUUCUCAUGCAUUGCAUUCAUUUACAUUGACACAUGACCUAAUGGCAUUUACAUUGACACGUCUUUACGUAAAAGACAUAAAUGUCGUGACAUGCAUAGGUAUGGGUAUACAUUAUAUCAUCAAGCCACUGAGGGCAUCCCAUCAUAUCGUCUCGACCACUGUGGGCAACAUCAUCAGCAUAUACCAGCUGAUCAGGUGGUAGUGCGUAUAUAACGACGUAACCUUUUCUCAUAUCCCAUAUAUAUAUAUAUAUAUAUAUAUAUAUAUAUAUAUAUAUAUAUUUAUAUAUAUACGUGUAUAUAAUGUCAUUUGGCCAUGGGUCAAUGCACAUGUAUAAAUGGGUGAAAUGCAUGAAAAUACGUAAAAAUCACAAUAUUCCUUCCGGAUAAAUUUUUUUCAACUGCGUAUUAUUCUGAGACCCAUGAACAAAAGAUAAUAAUAAUUCUCAUGGGGAAUCAAGCAUAUAGACACCCCUAGUAUCUCUAUGAAUAGAGUAAUUUAUGGAAACUGCGUGUUUGCUCGCUUCUUCAGUAUAAUUUGGAUCAUGCCAAAAGAAAAAAAAGAUGACCGUAACAUACCUGAAGUAGGAAAAACUCCGUAUAAUAUUCCAUUGGAGAUCCUUCGUUGAUUGAACUUAGAACUCAAAAAAGACGGAUUAAGCUUCUACUUUCUGAAUCCUUGAACGUAAUUUCUUCUUGCUUCCUUGAAAUUUAUAAACUAAAUUGGCUUUGGAUUUCUUUGAAAUUUUGGACGAAUUUGAUUCUGCUUCUAACUUCUUUGUUUGAGUCAAAGACAGAAUGUCUUUGAUUUUUAACAAAGAAUUGAUUGCAAAGGCAUGUUUGAACCAAAGACAGAAUGUCUUUGAUUUUUAAUAAAGAAUUGAUUACAAAGGCAUCAUGGAUAAUGCUUAUAUGUCUUAUUUUGAUAAGACUUUAUUUUAGUUACAUUCCAUAAGUAUCCACAUGGCAAUAAUGAUCAAGAGUCAUUUUUUAGCCAUUGUGGCUUUAUGCCACGUGGAGGUAUAAUUUAUAAUUUUUUUUAAUUCACUUAUUAGUUAAUUGGGUAAUGUCCUGUUACACGGUAAUUAAGCAAUUACCCGUAUAAUUUAAAAAUUACCAUAAAUUACUUAAAAUUCUACUUAUUUUUAAUAUAUUUUAUACAUUAUACUACCGUGGUCAUAUGGUACCUUGUAUGGUACUAGUUCAUAAUCAUCGGGUAUUAUUGUUCGACCCGUAUUUUAUCUCAAAUUGGCCACUUUCAACGAAACUCGUUUUCUUUAAUUCGUGUACCCCUUUAUCCUUCAUGACACUUCUUUAUUGCUUGUUAUAAAUACCAUAAAUGCAUUAACGUCAAGAUAAUAUCAUCCCCGAGUCUACGUCAAUUAACCGGAGAAGAAACUUUUAACGUACGAAAACGCGAGAUGUAACACACUUGUCCCGUAAAGUUCACCCCAGAACACGACUCUCAAACCUCAUAUGGCUACAUUAUGGAUGCUACUGAAUGAGAAGGACAGAUCUUCAAUUUAUAGAACUUCAAAUAUUUUCCUACAAGAAAAGGGACUAGCCAAAUAUGGAAGAAUUAUAUCUUCCUUCUAGGAAAAGAAAAACUCAAUUAUGGUAAAUAUGUUGUCCUUUCCUUCAUGAGAUAGGAAAACCAAUUAUGGUAAGAAAAUCUGGAAAAAUACUUAACAAUUGCCCCCCUUGGCCUAAAUUUUCUAACAAAAUAAAUUUGAUCCACCUUCUUCACAUAGCCUUCAACAAGUCGCAUCUCCAAACCUCCACCACAAAGUUUGUCUCAACAUGCAUAGUAUAUCGGUUCUCAGACAAAAAUUACGAUUAUCAUCAAAUAGGUUGCAGCUAGAACUAAACCUGCCAAGAUGAACCAGUCUUGAACCUCGCUCUAAUAUCACUGUUAUGUCGAGGAAAAGGCAAACCCGAAAAUAAAGAAGAUAAAGAACACCAAAUUUUAACGUAGAAAACCCUUCAAAUCGAUGGUAAAAACCACGGGAUCACAAAGAUCUAAAAGCUCCACUAUAACAAUAAGAGGGUUUCAAAAAUUCUCCAAAUUGGCUACACAACAAGUGCCAAACACGGAGUAUCAAUAGCAAUAAGAGCAACAACUAAUCAAUUGAAGAAAGAGGAGAAUCCACAAAAAUGAAGUUGUUGUUCGAGGCUUAAAAUUAGAUACUACAUGCCUCUAAAUCCAAUCUCCACCAUUCAAAUCGAAAACCAAGACGUUAAAAACACUCAGUCAAAAUUUCAGCCCGAUAACGGUUAACGAAUCGGAAAACAUAAUUUGAAGUUGGCUGGUCGGAAUAAAAUCUGCAGCAAAACGAAUAUUGUUUUUCUCUCUUCUCUCUUGAUAAAAGCUCUCUCAAAAACCACUCUUAUGUGCUUAAAUAUUUCAAAGACUUGUACCAACAAACUAAGAACAAUUCUCCAAGGUUGUCCUAUUUAUAGAUCAUGAGUGGUGCUUUCUCUUAAAGCCAAAACCCACUUAAAAUAGGAAUGAACACCGAAUCCAAUUCUGAAUAGGAAUAGAAACCAAAAGAGAAUAAGAUUAGGUUUGGGACUUUGGCUGGACAACAUAGGCAUGGGCUUAACAAACUCCCCCUCCAGCCAAGGGGACAAGUAUGUCUUCAAGUAGAGGAACUAUUGACAGGCUUCAUGCCUGCCAAUUUUCUGCAAAAUACAUGCUUGUCUGCAAGCUUAACUACGAAGUCUUCAGGCUGCUCCAUAUAAAUCUCUUCAUUCAAAUCACCAUGAAGAAAAGCAGUCUUGACAUCCAUCUACUCAACUUCUAAAUCUAGACUUGCGGCUAAGCCUAGAACCACACGAAUAGAAGACAUCUUCACAACAGUGGAGAAAAUUUCAUCAAAGUCAACUCCCUUCUUCUGGAAAAAAUCUUUAACAACUAAUGUCGCCUUGUACCUAGGCCUAGAGGUAUGGUUAUCUUGCUUUAUUCUGAAUAUCCAUUUGUUAGAUAAAUCUCUCUUACCUUUCGGCAAUUUCACUAACUCAUAUGUGCCAUUCUCAUAGAAUGACUUCAUCUCAUCUCCUAUGGCUUCUAUCCACUACUCUUUGUGAGCAUCUUGCAUAGCUUCAUCAUAGCUCCUAGUAGGAGUGGCAAACGGGCGGGUCAGGUCGGAUAUGGUUCGAAUCGAAAAUGGGUAUUGAAAAAAUGGGUAAAUCAUCCGACCCAAAUCAUAUUUAAUAUGUAUAAAAAAUGGAUUAACCAGCAGAUACUUCCCUCAAGAUCUAUCGACACUCGGCAUGGGGAUAACGUUGGUCGAGACCCCGACGAGCAUGGGAGGCUUCCAAAGAAUGCAUCCGGAGCCAAUUAAGUCUACCUGGGCAGCCCAACAUUGGUCUACGUAUACUUCAUGAAGCUAGCUAGCUAUCCUAUCCUGCUUCCUUUAUCACUCAACGUAUCUUGUACUAAGUUUGGAUUCCCCCUCUUAUAAAAGGGGUAUCAUUAACACUCUGUAAGCAAGUUGCUCCAACUUUUCAACAUAAGAUCAAUAAAAACUCUCUCUCUUUUCUCUCUAACUUACUCGCUCGAGGCUACUUCAUUUAUUGCUUUGAUACUUCUUCUUCAUUUAUUGAUUGAUAUUGGCCAUAAAGAGCCUCCUUUAAUUAUAUCCUAAUUGUUAUUCCCUUUCCGGUUACCCCCGAUAGCUCGAACUUGAGCCGAGACAUUGACCUUGAGGCCCCUCAUCGGUCAAUCUGAGACUCGGAUAACAAGCCCCUCGAUUCGAGUAUAACUCUGUUUUAGCUCGCAUUUCAUCUCUCAUCUACAUAUGCCUAGCAUCAACUGCUCUAACAACUAGCAUAAAAAUAGAUCACGUAUAUUUAGAUUCCCAUUAACAAAUUUAAUUAUUAUUACCAUUUUUAAAGCAAACAACUAUCCAAAGCAACAGUAGGAGACAAAUUGAUAAUAUAGGCAACAGUGUUAAAUGUUUCCUCCCAAAAUGUAUUUGGAAGUUUAGCCUCUGAAAGCAGGCAUCUAACUCUUUCAACUAGAGUUCUAUUCAUCCUCUAUGCCAAACCAUUCAAUUGAGGCGUCUUUGGCGGAGUUUUCUGAUGACGAAUUCCUUGUUCCUUGCCAUAGUUAUCAAAGGGACCACAAUAUUCACCACCAUUGUCAGUGCGAAUACAUUAUAAUUUCUUCCCCGUCUAUCUCUCAGCUAAGGCCUGAAAUUCCUUAAACACGCCAAGUGCUUGAUCUUUAGAUCUCAAAGGAUACACCCAGAGCUUACGAGAAUGAUCUUCAAUGAAGGUCACAAAGUAAAGUGCACCACCUUUUGACUUUACUUUAAAAGGACCACACAAAUGAGAGUGUACUAGCUCCAAUAAAUCGAGAUUUCUUGAGGGAGGAUGGCUAUGAAAGGAAAUCCAUUUCUGUUUGCCAGCUAAACAAUGGAUACACCUUUUCAGCUUUGCUUGUUUCACUCCAGAAAGCAAACUUUUCUUAGCCAAACACGUAAUCCCCCUCUCGCUCAUACGACUCAAUCUUCUAUGCCAUAAUUCUAAUAAAGUGUCACUUUCCACCAGAUUUAUGGAGUCAUUAAGAAUAGAGCCAUGUGUCACAUAUAAAUGACCAUACUUGACUCCUCGAGCCACUACUAACGAGCCCUUAGUGAGCUUCCAUUGUCCAAUAAACAUGGCAUUAUGGUAACAUUCAUCGUCUAAUCUUCUUGCAAGGAUCAAAAUGAAAGGAAAGUCUGGAGCAUACUUGACAUCUUGAAGAACUAACGUUGAACCAUUAUUAGUUUUCAAACAAACUGUGCCAACACCAAAUACCUUAACUUCACUAGCAUUGCCCAUCUUUAACACUCCAGAAUCAACAUGAGUAUAAGAUGAGAAAAAAUCUUUUCUUGGUGUGACAUGUGAGAUAGCUCCAGAAUUUACCAAAAAGAAGGUCAUCUCGAACAAUCGCAGCAACAUUGUUCUCGUUUUUUUUAACUUUCUUUCCUUCUCUAAUGUCUUGCAACAACUUGUGGCAAAAUCUUUUGAUAUGUCCUUUUUUCCACAGUGGUUGCAUGUAAUAUUAUGGUAUUUGGACCUUGACUUACUUCUUCUUUUACUUCUAUUCCACGAGCCUCCCGGUCUUCUGUAACCAAGAUAUCUUCUUGUGAGGACGAACUCUAAGAUUUUCUCCUUACUUCCUCGUUCAAUACACCACUCUUGGCAUAUUUCAUGGUCAUCUUACCUCCAGGAGCUGAAUUUGUCAAAGAAACACAAAGAGUUUCCCAAGAGUCUGGCAGAGUAUUAAGAAGCCAAAGUCCUUGUAUCUCAUCAUCAAAAUUAACUCUCAUUCCAGACAGCUGAUCAAGAACACCCUGAAAAUCAUUUAUGUGAUUAAGGAUAGAGAUGUCUUCCUUGUAUUUAUAGGUCAUCAAUUGCUUUAGGAGGAACAACUUGUCGUUCCCAGUUUUUGAAGCAUAAAGUCUCUAGCUUUUCCUACAAUGAUCUCGCAUGUGUCUCGUUCACAAUAUGGUUGCGAACAUUAUCUUCAACUAUUGUCGUAUAUAUCCACAUAUUUGUUGGUGCUCGAAAUCCCAAUCUUUAUCAGAUACACUCUCGGGUUUAUGAGCUAAAAAAACAGGUAGAUGCAUCUUCUUUACGAACAACAAGUCUUUCAUCUUGCUUCUCCAAACAUUACAAUUUCUCCUAUCUAAACAUACCAUCAUAUUCACCUUCAUUCCGUAACAACCCGGAUAAAUAACCAAGGCUUUGAUACCACUUGUUAGGACCGAAAAAAUCAGAGCAAAGCAAACCUUGAACGACGAUAAUUCAGACAACAAAAGAGAAAUAUACCAAAAGAGACACAAACAUUUAACGUGGUUCGGUCAACUGACCUACGUCCACAGCGGAUAUGAGCAAUCCACUAUAUAAAAAGAGAGUACAAAAUAUCGAGAGAACAACCUCACGAAGAGGCAAACACAAGUGACGCACUAACACUUGUCCCGUAAAGUUCUCCCCAUAAACACGACUCUCAAACCCUAUAUGGCGACAUUAUGGAUGUUACUGAAUGAGAAGGACAGAUCUUCAAUUUAUAGAACUCCAAACAUUUUCCUACAAGAAAAGGGACUAGCCAAAUAUGGAAGAAUUAUAUUUUCCUUCUAGGAAAAGAAAAAUCUCAUUAUGGUAAAUAUGUUGUCCUUUCCUUCAUGAGAUAGGAAAACUAAUUAUGGUAAAAAAAUUUGGACAAAUACCUAACAGUAUGCAAUGUUAUUUGUCAUACUAUUAUAUUAACUGUUGUUUAUUAGAAUCAAUGAUUUCAAUAAUAAUCACACUAAUACAUUUUCCUUUACAAGUUAAAUUUGAGAUUUAUUUAAAAUAUGCAAGUAAAUAAUAAUUUUGAUUUGGUUGUAAUAAACAAAAUUUGAAAUAUUUAGUACUUUGCUAAUGUUCCUUCCAAUUAUAUUCAUACUUACUAAUCAUAACGAUGUACAAUUCAUUUAUUAUAUUAAACUAUUUGCCUAUUAAACUUAAAGUUUCAGAUUUUAUUGGCCCAACUGACAUACAAAUCAUAUUUUAAGUAUCAAGUCAAUUUAUUUUGCUACUAUAGUUUUCAUCAUAGAAAAAUAUCACUUACAAUUACAAGUUUGGUUAGUAAUUUAAUUCUUCGUUGUAAAGGAAUUCUUGAUGCAUAUAAAUAGUUGUGAUAUUUUAUUUCUUAUAAGCGUCAUUUCUUGAAAGUAAUUAAUCAAUGAGUUUCAUAUUGAUGGAGGUUAAGAAGAUAAAGGACGCAAAAGAUCCCAAUGAUAAAAUUGAAAAUGAAGACAUCUAUAUGCCACAUUUCAGAGUAGCGUUCAAGUUUAUACACAAAGGUAGUUAAGUGAACUUGUUAGCUCAUGCAACAGUGCUAGUGAAUUAAUACUUUUUCCACCAAAAGAUAAGUCUUUUGUUUAAUACAAUAUUUGAAAUAAUCAAUGAUCGAUUUUUGAAAUCCUAACAGAGUAUUAAGCGAAAGUACUCAUCUUGUUGUUGCAUUGCCCAAAAUAAAGUGAACUAUAUCAACACAGUAGGGAGUAGGCUUGCUUUGGUUCACUUUAUUUUGGGCAUAUGCAGCAACAGGCCGUGUGCUUUCGGUUAGAAUUCAAAAAACGAUCAAUGACUGCAUCAACUGUUGGAUAUGAGUUGUUCUAAUAUCAAUAUCACGUUGCUUAACAAGUUCACUAGCUUUUGUAUAAACAUGAACACCACUUUGAAUUAUGUGGCACAUAGAUCUUCUUCCUUUUCUAUUUUUAUCAUUGGAAUUUUUUGAGCCCUUUUGUUUUCUUAUCCUCCUUUGAUGAAAUAAGAUAAAAUCUUAUUGAUCAACUAGUGAAUAUGUUCGUGCUUUGUGUUGUAUUUAUGAUAUGAUCUCUUUUUUAAUACUCGACUAUUAAAAGUACAAAGAGUGGCCAGGGCGGCUCGACAUAAUUGGGACCUAAAGAGUAACUAUAAUUAGAGACCCAAAUUUUUUAUAAUUGAUUUUUUAGUAAUUAGUUUUCAAUUGAAUUUAGCUAAAUCACUCUUGCUGUUGAGGUAACUAUUAGCCAUUUGAGAAAGAAUCAAAUAUUUUUAUGUAAUUAAUAUCAAUUAGAGUAUUAUCUUUUACUUGCACUGUACUAUUUUUCUUAACACUUUUAGUUUGAAAUAUAAGUCUAAACCAUCAAUACUAGGGUGGCUAUUAUGUUUUAAGUCAUCAAAGGUUAACACAAUAUUAUUUUUUUCAAAUUUUCAUCAUUUAGUAAUCUUAAUUGUUUAAAAUAAUACUUAUAGGAUUUAGUGAUUACAAUGCAAAAAAUGCAAAAUAAAGGUUACAUCAAGUUUAAGAAAAUUAUAAAAAUAUAUUUACCCAAGGUAACUUUUCCAUCCCUCAGCAAUCACAUUGACUUUACAAUAAUAAAUUUUUAUUAUAAAAUGCUUAACCUUUUUAAGAAAAAAAUUAAUGCAUGACCUAUUCUUUUUAAAAUUGGGGCCCCUCAAAAUUUAGAUAUGCCUUACUUGCCUAGCCAUUGAACCGGCCCUGUGAGUAACCAAUCCAAAAUUACAUUGUCUUCCAAAAUUAUUUUCAUCUAAAUGGACAAGUCAACAUUUAUUCUUAUCCUACUUCUUUCCUUUUUCAAAAUUUUAGGAACUUAAAUAAUCUAUAUACAAGUAUUGGUUUAUUUCUCCUUCCCCUUAAAAAAAAAAAGAAAUUUAUUCUACUUUCUUUAAUAAAUAUAAAAAGAAAAAAAGUUCAAUUUAUGUUCUUAUUACCUUCUUGACAAUUUUGGAACGCUCUCCCUUUCCUUAUUUCUCUUGUAUUAUCUACCCUUCUUUACCUUUCCAUAUAUUUCCUCUGUUGUUUACCCUCUAUGUAAUUUCUUUCCAUCUUCGUAAUUUUCUCUCAUCUAAUCCUAUUGCGUCCUUAUAUCCACCAUUAUUUCUAAAUCCCCCUUUUCUUGCUAUGUCGUUUGCUUGUCGUUUUCUAUUUGCUUCUUUCCUUUCCAUUUGUAAAUUCAUAUCCUCUAAUUACUUGAGAAAAUUAAAAACGGUUAUCCCUCCUUAGAUAAUUAAAUCAAACUCCUUUUCUCCUCUUAUCUUUUGGAAAAUCCUAAAUAUUACUCUCUCGAUUAAUUCCUCCUUCCAUUUUAAUACACCUACCAUUAGCUGCAAUCACACGGAGAAGCAUAGCAGAUUUGAGAUAAUUAUCAAGGAGCUGCUUCGAAACUCGGCAAGGCCCAUCGCAUAUUUGAGAAAAUUGAGUCUUUGCGUGUAAGGUUCCUUUUUUCCCAUGAUGUUGUAAUCCCGUUUGCAUAUAUACAAAUUUAUUCUGUUUGAAAGAAGAUGACUUUAUUCUUAAUAGUAGAGAAGAAAGUUAUGUAAUGGUGGAGAUGUCCUCAAGAACUAGCAAUCUCGCAAUUGUAACUUUUUGUCUUUACGCGAUAUACAAUAUACAUAUUCUUACCAACCCGUUAUUACAAAUGAAGACGUAGGCAAAGGUUGGAUUGACAGAACAAUAACCUUGACCCUCUGGCUUCAUGUUUAACAAUCCGAUCGGUCGUUUUCGUGUAUUUGUGCUCCAUUUUUCCUUUUGAAGCUUACCAAUGUAUAUUUGUGAUUUUAUGACCUGCGGGAUGGUUAGUUUCGUUUUGGGAGGUUUUGGAAUGAUCUAGAUCAAUUGGUUCUUGGUUUAGAAGCUUACAUUGAAAAUAUUUACUGAGGUUUGACUUAUAUAAAACGAUCACAAAAUAGUGUUUUGAUGGCUCCAAUAGAUUUGUAUAGUGAUUUUGGACUUAGAUGUAUGUGAACUCGGAGGUCCCUGGUUGAUUUGGCUUGUUUUGCCGAAAGUUGGUAAUUGGAAGGUUUAGAAAUUCUUUUAGUUUGACCAUAGGUUGACUUUAUGGCUAUCGGGUUCAGAUUUUGGGACUUAAAAUAGGUUUUUGUUUAUUUGGAACUUGUGUGCAAAUCUGGUGUCAUUCCGCAUUGAUUUGAUAGGAAUCGGAUGCUUGGUUGUGUUUUUAGCGAUUCUUGAAUUCGUUGUAAUGUUUUAUGCAUUUUGAUGUCCGAUUCAUAGUUUCUAAUAUUAUUUUGAUAUUUUGAUAGCUCGAGCGGGUUCGUAUUAUAUAUUUGACUUGUGGGGAUGUUUGGUGUGGAGCCCCGGGGACUCGGAUGAGUUUCAGAUGUGGUUCAGAUUGAUUUUGGCUUGUUUCUCAGCAGCUAGUGUGCUGGUGCUGCAGAUAUCGCAAAUGCGAGCACCAGUUCGCAUUUGCGAAAUAGAUAUCGCAUUUGCGAAAAGGUUACUGGGCUGAUAGGCUUUGGAUUUGCGAAGCAAGCCUCGCAAAUGCGAAAGGAACCUUGGCUGGGGUGUCUCGCAUUUGCGACCAUUUGACCCCUUUUGCGAAUGGGAUGAGUUUGCAAAUGCGGGGUUAGUGUCGCAUUUGCGACAUUUCCUGGAAUCUGGGGGCAUCGUUUUUGCGACUGAUUUUCCGCAUUUGCAUGACUUGCAGCUGAACAAAAUAAUGGAAUUUUGGGACUUAGCUUCAUCUACCAUAAUUUAGAACCCUAGACUCGAUGGGAGGCAAUUUUGAGGAGGAAUUUUCACAUACAACUGCAACGACUCGGCCGGUCGUUUUGAGCAAUUGCACAUCGCUCGGUUGUUUGAGGGCAUGAGUAUAUCCGUAUGAGGUAUUAUGACUUAUGUGAAUCGUCGGUUUUCGUUUUCAGUUUAUUCGGAAUUUGAUUUGGGAGAAUGAUUCUUAGCUAGAAGCUUUAAAUUUGAAAGGUUUGCCCUAGUUUUGACUUUUUAGUAUUCGAUCUCGAAUGUAAUUUUCGAUGGUUCUGUCAGCUCCGGUGGGUGAUUUUGGACUUAUGAGCGUGCCCGGAAUGUAAUUUGGAAGUACGUGGUGAAAUUAGGCUUGAUUUAGUGAAACUGGAAAUUUGGUGAUUUCCGAUCGGCAGUAGAGAAUUUGAUAUCGGAGCCGGAAUGGAAUUCCGAGAAUUGGAGUAGGUUCGUAGCGUCUUUUGUGAUGCGUGUACAAAAUUUGAGGUCAUUCGGACGAGGUUUGAUAGGUUUCGGCAUCGGUUGUGAAAGUUUGAGCUUUCAAGUCCAUUAGGCUUCAAUUGGUGUGCAAUUCAUAUUUUUGUUAUUGUUUGAGGUGAUUCGAGAGCUCGAUUGAGUUGGUAUGAAUAUUUUAGGACUUGAUGGUACAUUUGGUUGAGGUUUCGGAGGACUCGGAUGUGUUUCGGGUGAGUUUUAAGCGAGUCUGGGCAUUUCCGGAACUCAAGGCAUGGUUCUGGUGCUUAAUUUUUGCGGACGGCGGCAAAAUUUUGCUUAGGGCGGAGGUGGGGGCGUGGACCGCGUAAAUUUGGUCGCGGAGGCGCUCCAGGGAAGAUCUGCAGAUUCGCUAGGUCGAUUUCGGAAGCCUAUAUCUUUUGAUCUACAAGGAAUUUUGAGAUGAUUCAAAAAUAAAAGUUGUAUCUCUUCGUGUCUAAUUUUCAGAAAACCAAAGAUAUCAUCAUUUGGACAUCUGUAAAGAAGGUUAUGGCUAAAAUACUAAAGCAUGUCACUGCAGCCACUAGAAGCGCGGACAUCGCUACUUUUUCGCGACUGCGGGAGUUGGAUUUUCGUGACCGCGCCUGGAUUUUCGCGGUCAGCGUAGUGGAGAUCAGAGAGUGCACUAUAUAAACGGGUUUUAGGGCAUUACUUCACAUUUUGGACCUAGGGAGCACGGUUUAUGGCGAUUUUUCGAGGACUUUUCAAGAAAUUCACCGGGGUAAGUGAUUCUAACUCGGAUUUGGUUAAUAUACAUGAACAUAUCACUGAUUUCAUCAUUUUAUUAGUACAUUAAGAUGGAAAUUUGGGGGAAAUUGUGGAAAUUUCAUAAAAUGAAUUUUUGAGAUUUGAAUGUCGAUUUGGAGUCGGAUUUGAGUGAAACUAGUAUGGUCAGUCUCGUAAUCGAAUGGGUUGUUAGAUUUUGUGACUUUGGUUGGAUUUCGAGAUGUGGGCCCGAGGCUCGACUUUUGAGUUGACUUUUUGACUUUUGGUUUUAAGCUUAGCAUUUUCUUAUGGGAUUGAUUCCUUUAGCUCGUGUUGAUUGUAUCGAAUUGUUUAUAGCUAGAUUUGGAGCAUACGGAGUUCAAUUUGGAAGGCAAAGGCAUAGCGGAGUAGGAGUUUGCUUGGUCGGAGAUAACUAACGCUUCUAAACUUGGUUUUGAGGGUUCAAACCCCCGAACUAUGUAUUAUGUGGUUAAAUAUUGAGGUGACGCAAAUGCCAAGUGACGGGCGUGUGGGCGUACAUCGUGAAAAAUUAUGGCCUGGUUCAUUCCAUGGAACCGCUUAGUGACUCUUUCUUGUUGAUAUCUAUGUUGUGAUUAUAUGAUUAAACAAAUGAACUAUAAAUCAUGCUAAUUAUCAUGUUAGGGCUUCAUGCCAAUACUGUUGAGACCCGAAUGGUUGCUUCUUGCUAUCAUCUCAUUAGUUUCAUAUAUACUUUGUACAUAGUCUUGUUUAUGCAUAUCAUAUCAUGUCUCAGUCUCGGUUGUUGUUAUCUGGCACAUCAUAUUAUUGUUUCGGGCUAGUUUCAUGGCAUUGUGAGUCCGUGUGUGUGAGACUGGAGAGUGAUGACUGAGUGAGGCCGAGAGCCUGAUUAUGAGUGAUAGUUAUGGAAUUGGACUGCACGCCGCAACAAAUUAUUGAUUAUGCCUCCGUUGGCUUGUUAUAGCGAUUGGGCUGAAAGGAGCCCCUCCGGAGUCUAUACACCCAGUGAGCGCAGAUGAUAUUAUUGAGGGAUGGAUUUCCCUGGACAUGGAUUUGUCCGAAGUAUUGAUAUAUGGAGAUGGAUUUCUCAAUAGGAAUGGAUUUCCCUGGACAUGCAUUUGUCCGAAGUAUUGAUAUAUGGAGAUGGAUUUCUCCCCGGGGAUGGAUUUCCCUUUUUCCUCGAUACCGAGUGAUGUCUAGUCAUUGUUGAAUAUGUUCCGGGAUGGAUUUCCCUAGGCCGGAUGGCCAUAUGCGGUACUGAAUGGUUGAAUGUGUAUACAUAUAUACCUGGAGAUGGAUUUCUCCUCAGGGUUGGAUUACCCUUGUUCCUCGAUAUUGGAUGACUUGCUGUCAGCGUUGUAUAUGCCCCGGGAUGGAUUUCCCUGGGCCGGAUGGCCAUAUGCAGUACCGAGUGAUUGAGCACUUGAGAGUGAGGCCACAUGGUGUAUUUCAUACAUUCUAUGCAUUGGCAUGUAGAGUUAGUUAAGCUUUAUAUCUUACAUUGUUCAGAUCUCUAUAUAUUUCAUUGUUGAGUUGUAUUCCUGAAAGAAUAGCAUGCCUACUUUACUGCACAUCUUAUUUCUAUUUUCUAUUGAGGUUACGUUCGUCACUACCUAUCAGUCCAUAGGUUGGACUUGUUAAUGUUAGUUUGUGUAAAUCCGCCAAACAGUAGAGUACCUGGUCCUCUAUAAGUUUCUGCUGAGAAUGCUAAUAAAAUAGUACGAAAAUAAGGCAGAGGAUUUUUACGUGGAAAAAUCCCACACAAUGGGAUACAAAAAACCACGACCUACACCUGUAGGCUUUUAACUUCACUAACUUGUAAAAAAUCUAUUACAAGCCACUUUGCAAUGACUCCAUUACAAAGAAUUUACUCAACUAACUUGUGGUACUCUUACCACAAGGCACUUUGUGACUUGCUAGUUACAAAGACUUUUACUAACUUGUGAUGUUCUCACCACAAGCUACUUUGUCACUCUACAGUUACAAAUGCUUUUGCUUAUGAGUAAACCUAGUCACAACAUAAACUCAAGGAGUUCACGGAUUUACAAGAGGAUUUCUAAUCAAAUACUUCUAGCUAAGCAGUUUAGGAGAUACAAUAAGUACAAUCACAAAGUUACAACUCAACUAGGACAACAAUAAGAUAUCUUUAAGAAUUGGUCCAUAGUUGCGUUCAACUUUGUUCUUCAAGCUUGUGAGGAUUGAUUUCUCUGUUUUGGCAAGAAGCUUGAAUGAGAAACUGAAACAUUGAAGUGAUGUUUUGUAUAAACUCAUUGUAGGUACACCUUGAUUACAUCACUUGAAAUGAUGUGAGCACUUUAGUUGGUCAGAGAAUGAGUGGGCACUAGAAACAGUGCAGUGCGGCAGAAACAGUGUAGUCAGUCACUUCAUUUCCAGCUGUGUCCCAUUGACUUUGUACUGCGAUGAGGAAACCACAAGGGUAUCAGAUCAUUGUUUUGGUUCCUAGCUCCUGAAGCUGUAGCAGUUCACCUUUAGCUAGAAUCCGUUAAGUUUGCAGUAUAGUCCGAGUAGGUCAGGUUCCCUAUCUGGUUCUUAACAGUAAGUUUGUUAGAUCAUCAAAACAUAAGGCAAGAACAUUUAAAACCUAUCAAUUUCCCCCUUCUUGAUGAUGACAAACCUAACAUUUAUAGAGUGGAAUUUAGAGCAAUAAGAACCAGAUUAAGUAAUAGGGGAACACAGGUUCCCCUGACUCUAUGCCCUUUUGUAACACAUGUGUUCCCCCUGAGUUGAUGGCCAUAUUAUUUUUUCCCUUUUGGUAUCAUUAAAAAAACACAGACAAAAAUAACAGCACAAAGAAGUCCAACUAAGCUAACUCAUACCACAUAUGUGCACACAAGCAUGAUAGAGAAUAGAAACACAUAAGUAAACUACUGACAUAAUAAAACAAGGAUUGAUAUUAAUAAAACUUUAAUAUGCCUUUACUUUGAAAAAGCAAAAGGCAACAUUGAACUUGUUAAAAUGGUAGCAGUAGUGUUUCAUCCCAACCACAUAAAAAAGAAAAUAAAAACAUCUGCCAAAACAUCAAAGAAAACUUAACAAACAUUUCCAAAAACUCGUCACUAAAGGGGUACUUAGGGGGAACUAGGAGUAAAGGGCUUGGAAGUUGCAGCAAGCGUUUGGAGAACGAGGUCUAUUCGGGCAUUUCCCGACUUUUGCCCAUUGAGCAGUUCUACUUUCAGGUUCUCUACUUGCGCCCUGAGAUCAGCAUUCUCCUUUGUCAAACGAGCUACUUCAUCAUUUGACACCAGAACCCCUUGGGCUUGCUGACCUUCCAGGAUAGCAUUCUUGGCCUUCAACCGACGAAUUUCCUCAGCUACACUGUUCUGAGCAUUAAUAAGCUGUGAGACGGUUGAUGUACUUCCUACCCCUCCUAUUCUUUUCUAUGCACUCACAUUCUACCAAAGUUGUCUGUGAGAAAGUGUGCUUCCUAGUCCCCACGUUGCAUGUCCCCAGUGGUACUUCAAAGAAUUUGAACAAUUGAGUAAGCAAGAACCCUUAAGGAAGGCCAUGAUUACCAUCUUUGAAGGUGGCAACCUUUUGCAUGUGUUCAAUCAUAAUAGUAGGCAGACUUACAGGAGUAAAACUGUCCAGUUACUCCAUCAAGAACAGGUCAGACUUAGAAGUCACUGACCUCCUCUCAGUUCGAGGCAAUAGAACUUUGUUAACCAAUUCGACAGGGAGUACCGCUCUUAUGUAUCUGGUCCCCCUUCUGGUUUGCAUUGUCUUUUACCACGACAUUUCUAAAGUUAAAUUGAUACACAUCUUUUACACUGGGCACACCAGUUGUAGGAACUUUAAGAAUUUCUCCAAACAACUUUAUAUCGAACAUGAUGUCUACUCCAUUGACCAAAGCACAAAUGUGGUCAAUCUCAAUGGGAAAGAGGCUAGCAAAGAAGCUUUGUACCUCAUCCUCAUAUACCUUAGGUGCAUCAAUUUGAAAUAGAUGCGCCCAUCAUUGAAACUCGACCAUUUCAAGAAUUUGGUACAUACCAGCCAUCUCAGAGAUUGAUGGGUCAAACGUACGACCCAGCAGAACUUUUUGAUGCCUCAGACGUUCAGAGCCAAGGCUGACUUCACUUCUCAUUCUCUUCACAUAACCAAGUUCUUCAAAAAUUUCAGACUUGCGUUUGUUGGACUUCUUUCCGCUGAAUUUUCCUUUUCCCUUGGAUUUGACUAACACAUCCUCAUUAGACAUCGAGAACUCACUCACCACCUUCUUCAUCUUGGACCUAGAGGUUGACCCCUUCUCUAUUGAAGCAGGCUUCUUCUUUUUCGAAGACCAUCUAACAAGUGAACCAGGUUCACUGGGGUAUCCUCUUCCACCUCUACUACAGGGAUUGCCUCAUCACUUACAGGUACACUGUUUUUCACCAACUUUCUCCUUUUCUUCGUACUACUCUUCUUGCUCUUUUGAAGGGAAGAAUCGUAGGCCACCUUAACUUAAAGCCUGGUAGUAGGUCAUUUGGUUUUAGACUCAGGGGUGGACACAACCCUCUGCUUUCUUAUGAAUGCAUCAAGAGCCACAUUAUCUAGGUCUUCUUUAUCACUAGAUCUCAUUUCAGGUACUUGAAUUUCCAAAGGCACAUCAGCGAACGCAGGAACAGAACUAUCCUGGGAAUGAGAGCUCUGACCUUGGUCCUCCGGAGAGGGAUCAGGUUCCUCAUGUGAUUCCCUAGUAGUAUCUGCUAGUGCAUCCCCUUCAACAGUUACAAUGGCCCCUUCGUCCCCCACACCUUGUACCUCAUUUUUCUGAGAGAUGAUCUCAUGUAGUACACUAUCAGUAGACACCACAAACACGGUUACAACAUUUUUCUCUUCCUCAAAUGGUGCUACUACCACCAUGGAAUCGGUAGCAACGAUGGCAGAACUCGUUGUGACCUCAGGGUUUUGACCUUGCUCUCCACUUGGUCUUUGACUGGUGGGAACCUUAGAUGAUGGGGAGGACGGAGCAGCAGUUUUAAGAGUUUCUGAAUUAGGAAGAGACUGGAAAACUAGGUGAGGUGUGACUGUAGUAGUAGGAGUAAUAGUGGGUGAGGAAGGCUCAGUAGGAGCGCAUGCUCCAUAUGUUAAUCAGUGGUAGAUACGACUGAGGCAGGGAGAUUGAAAGUUGUCUCAGUCAUUGAAAAAGUGGUGUGAUGAUGCUUUUGGGAAAUUCUAAUGUAAGACUUAUGGUUAGGAAAAGCAGAAAAUGGUUUUUAAGAGGAGAGGAUAAUUAUGAGGAGAGAGGAAUAGGCACCAGUUCUGAAACGACGGUUGGGCGUGGAGAAUUUUACAAUGUUUCGGAGGGAGAUAGAAUGACUUGAAAUGAAGAGACGCGAUAGCAGGAUCUGAAAAGUUGAAUGACAUGGCCGUUGUGUUUUGUACCCUUUUUAAGAUGUGUAUUAAAGGAUGCAUAGAACUACUAACCUUUGGUACAAGAACCAGGUUCUUGACCCUUUAUUUGAAAGAAUCAAUCUUCUUUUAUCAUUCAUGCACUGCAUCUAUAGCUUCUAUACUCAUCAUACGUGUUUACCUGCAAAGGUAUUGAAGUGAGUUAGACAUGGCCAGAAAACACUUUUAGCCAGUUAUUUCUUGAAGGUGAUUUUCAUAGCCAGAUAAAGAGGAAUCAGGUUCUCAAUUGGGCUUUAAAAGCCCCAACUUCACUCUGUUUCUUUCAAACUGUUCCAUACUUGGUGCCUUGGUGAAAAUAUCUGCAAUUUGAUCUUCUGUGUUGCAUAACUUCAUACAUAUCAGCCCUUUCUCCACAUUGUCCCUCAGAAAGUGAUGCCUCACAUCAAUAUGUUGUGUCCUUUUGUGUGGAACUGGAUUCUUGGCCAUGUUGAGUGCACUAUUAUUGUCACAUAGAAGGGGCACACUCUCAGUGAGUACCCCAAAGUCCUCCAGUUGCUGCUUGAUCCAUAAAAGUUGAGCACAGCAGGAUGUUGCCGCUACAUAUUCAGCUUCAGCUGUUGAAAGAGCCACUGAAUUUUGCUUCCUUGUGCCCCCAAGAGAUAAGACAUGAACCUAAGAAGUGAGCCAUUCCAGAAGUGUUUUUCCUAUCCACAAGAUAACCUGCAUAAUCUGCAUCAGCAUACCCAAUCAUAUUAAACUGUCACCUGACGGAUAAUAAAGCACCAGGUUCUGUGUUCCUUUGAGAUAUCUCAGUAUUCUUUUGGUAGCUUUCAAGUGAGGUUCCUUGGGAUUUGAUUGAAACCUUGCACACAGCCCUACACUAAAAACAAUAUCAGGUCUGCUGGCAGUGAGAUAGAGGAGAGACCCAAUAAUGCCUCUAUACAUGGUUUGAUUCAUAGGAGAUCCAGUUUCAUCCAUGUCCAACCGAGUGGCAGUAGCAAUGGGAGUAUCUAUCACCUUUGAUGCUUCCAUGUCAAACGUCUUCAAGAGCUCCCUGAUGUAUUUUUGCUGACAAAUGGAUAUAACAUUUGGGGACUAUUUUACUUGAAGACCCAAGAAGAAGUUCAGUUCCCCUAUCAUGCUCAUUUCAAAUUCACUUCCCAUGAGUUUUGCAAUUUUGUCACACAGAGAAUCAGUUGUUGCUCCAAAAAUGAUAUCAUCAACAUAGACCUGAACAAUGAGUAGGUUCUUUCCUCGUUUCUUUAAGAAAAGAGUGUUGUCAAUUUUCCCUCUUUUAAAGCCAUUUUCUAAGAGGAACUUUGAAAACCUUUCAUACCAAGCUCGAGGAGCCUACUUUAGCCUGUACAAAGCUUUGUCUAGUUUAAACACAUAUUCAGGGUGCUCAUGACAUUCAAACCCUGGGGGUUGCUUCACAUAGACGUCUUCCUUAAGGAGUCCAUCCAAAAAUGCACUCUUGACAUCCAUUUGGAACAAGGUGAAUUCCAUAUUAAAUGCAAAAGCGAUUAGAAUUCCAAUAGCUUCCCUGCAAGCCACUGGAGAAAACGUUUCAUUAUAGUCAAUACCUUCCUCCUGAUUGUAGCAUUGGACCACUAGCCUGGCCUUGUUCCUUAUGGUAAUUCCAUGUUCAUCGAGCUUGUUUCUGAAUACCCACCUAGUUCCUAUAAUGGUUCGAUCUGGGGGUCUAGGUACCAGGUGCCACACAUUAUUUCUCUCAAACUGAUGUAGCUCAUCUUGCAUAGCUGUAAUCCAAUCUACAUCUUUCAAGGCUUCCCUGAUAUUUUUGGGUUCUAUCUGGGAGAGAAAGGCUGAGAAGGCAAGUGAAUUUCUGGCUCUUGACCUGGUUUGCACUCUAGAAUCUAGAGGAGUAAUAAUGUUGUCCAUUGGAUGAGAGCUUUGGUGUCUCCAAUUAGACGCCUGAGGUUCAUUUUAAGAGGAAGAGGGUAUGUUUGGCUGAUUUUCCUCUGUCCUUCUCUCAGGUGCUAGUGGAGUUCCCUGAACUACAUCAACCACUCUUUCUUCA
rnacentral:lncRNA from 1 species